rnacentral:rRNA from 1 species
UAGGGAAUAUUGCAAAAUGGGCGAAAGCCCGAUGCAGCAACGCCGCGUGGGCGAUGAAGGCCUUCGGGUCGUAAAGCCCUUUUUGAGGGGAUGAGGAAGGACAGUACCCUCAGAAUAAGCCUCGGCUAACUACGUGCCAGCAGCCGCGGUAAAACGUAGGAGGCGAGCGUUAUCCGGAUUUACUGGGCGUAAAGUGCGUGCAGGCGGAUUGGAGAGUUGGAUGUGAAAGCUCCCGGCUUAACUGGGAGAGGUCGUUCAAUACUUCCAGGCUUGAGUGCAGUGGAGGGAAGUGGAAUUCCGGGUGUAGUGGUGAAAUGCGUAGAUAUCCGGAGGAACCCCAGUGGCGAAAGCGGCUUCCUGGACUGUAACUGACGCUCAGACGCGAAAGCUAGGGUAGCAAACG